rnacentral:lncRNA from 10 species
UGACAGGGAUAUCUACAUAAGACUCUCAAGUAUAAAGGUGAGAAGAAGUGCAAGUACCUCAGUAGCCAGCAGAACUGGAGACAUACAAGGUCAGUGACCUGCAAAUUUGCUAGUGCACCACUGAUAUCAUUUUGAAAAAAAACACAUUUUAAGUUGACAUUAAAAUCUCACCAUAUGUUUAAAGGAUGCAAUUUCCAGCAUACUGUAAAAAUUGACAUUUUAAAAUACAAAUUAUACUGCCUUUAGUAUGUGCCCAGUGGAAACUAAAUAUCAUAAUGAUUUUGAUACCCAUCAUCAUCCAUUUAAAAAUUCAUAGACUGACUCAUCUUUAACAGGUGGAAAUUUUAUGCUGCUCGUUUUCCUCUUUUAUUUACAUUCUACUUCAUAUAACUUCAUCUUAAUAUAUUUUCAUGCUUGAAAUCUUUUUAUCACCCUAUCAUGCUUCUCUAGCCCCCACAUAUACACAUGUGUAUGUACUAAAUUUGUUUUUCCUGUGGUCUUAAAUCUCUAAGUGUUAAAAUGGUAACUUCUGGAUUCAGGGAUCAAUAAUAUUAUUAGUACAAAACCGAUCAAAACAACUUAUAAAAGUAAAAAUUGGUAAGAAAUGGAUACUUAAUGAAAUGAGCUUUUGUUUCCAUAUAUCCAUAAAUGAAUAUUACUUCUUACUAUAAUAAAAUCAGUCAGGAUUCAACAUCAUUUUUAUGCCUAUUUUGUGUUUUUUAUAAAAGCUGAGAAAAACCUUCAGUUAAAUAAGUGGAUGAGAAUUAAAUAUAUUUUGUUAUAGCAAUGUUUCUUACUUUGAAUUCUUUUGGAGUUAUAUCCCCAAAUCACUUAGCAACCUAUCAUCAAAAAUGUCUUAAAUGAAUUGAUAGCUGACAUCUCAAUCAAGGCUCCUUUACUUUUGUUGAAAGCAAAACUUGGAAACCACCUGACUUGUCAGAGAAUCUGUUAGUCAUUUGCUUUCUCACACUGACACUCCAAUAGUUUCUGGCAUAUGGAGGUUUUGAAUACCUGGAGGAACAUAGCAUAGAAGCCAGAAUGGUGCAAGUGUGCCUUUCUUUUUGUGAAAAGGGUGAAGGGAAAUUGGAGAAAGGCAGGUUGGGAAAGGAGAAUAUGUGCCCCCUUAUGUACAGAGGGGCAGAGUAAUUUUCUGAAAGAGAAUACAUGAAAGUUGAGGAUGUGAAAACUGACUGCGGUCACUUGCCUGAGCCUACAUACCCCCUUGAAAAGUCUUUCUAUUUCUCACUCAUUGUUGCUCCUCCCUCCAACAUGCUAAGUCUGUUUUGUCUUCUUUUUUUUAGAGACAAGGUCUCACUCUGUCACCCAGGCUGGCGUACAGCUGUGCGAUCAUGGCUCAGUGAAGCCUCGACCUCCUGGACUCAAGCGAUCCUCCUACCUCAGUCUCCCAAGUAGUUGCGCCUACAGGCACGCACCACCACACCCAGCUAAUUGCUUAUUUUUUCUAGAGAUGAGGUCUUGCUAUAUUGCCCAUGCUGGUCUUGAACUCUUGUCCUCAAGCAAUCUUCCCGCCCUCAAGCAAAUCUCCUGCCUUGGCCUCCCAAAGUGCUGGAAUUACAGGUGUGAGCCAUCGUAUAUUAUCUUCUUGUCAACAUUCAUUCAUUCUCUAAAAAUACACCGUCUGUCAACUAUAGGCUAGGCACAUCUAUUUACUGAUAAUGAUAUAAAAUAAGCUUAAAUUCCUAAGAAACAAAAGAAAAAUAAAUUCCUAAGAAACAAAAGAAAAAUUCCUAAGAAACAAAAGAAAAAUAUUAAAACUGACCAAAAAAAAAUUAAGUAAAACUAGACAGAUGGUACACAAGAAUAACUGAAUUUUGAGAAACAGUUAAUGAAGCUAAACUAAUAUAUCACACUGUGUGUCACCCUGCCUGCUUACCCAUUUCCCUAACUCAUUUAUAUGGGAGCCUUGACUUAUUUUUCUCCUUGGCUAAGUGCCUGGGGCCUAAAUCCUGGAGUAAAUGAAUAAAAUUGGAGUUCUGAUUCAAGGCUCUCUGAACUACUUACUAUUUUAACAAAAUUAAAGCAUUAAAAAAUUAAAAGCUAGUUAAGUUAAAAUUUUGCAAAACUGUAUAAUGUAUCAUUUCGAUAAUGUUUAUUAUUUGAUAGUAUAAUUUUCAUUCAACUUUUCUGUGACUUUAUUCUUUUUUCCUACUACUCUACUCUCCACCCUACCUUCCGUCCUAGUGACGAAGAUGAAAAAUAUCAUUUAAUCUAGAAAUUGUUAAACACAAUUAAUAUAACCCUGUAGAUUACAGAACCUAUUUAAAUUUCCAUAGCUAAAAAAGAGAAAUUCCUUGAUUUAGUGCUAUUAUUAUCCACUAGAGGGUGCUCAUUCAACUCUUUUAAAAGUUAGAAAUGAAAAACAAAUCAAUUUAUGGAAAUGCACCAAAGUAUGUUUUUGAGUCAUUUUAUUUUUACUCCUCAGAGAUGCUAACGAAGAGCUGAUGGCUUCCUAUUCUAUUUUGGCAAUGGAUCUUCCUUGUAUCUCACAGAAGGGCAAUUUAUGUCCAGAUUUGUUAUUCACUGUACCUCAGAUAGGAAAUCCUUUGCGUUUCUGGUGGAACAUCAAAAGGCUAAAAAUCCUGAACAUAAGAGUCCUUCAUACUACGGGAUCUGAGCAUACAUUUGGAAGGAUGCAACUCUGGACCCUUCACAGCAGCACAGAUGGUAUAGGAAAAGGCGUGGACUUUUAAGUCACAGGACUGAAUUUGCCACAACUACAAGAUACCUAUCAAUUGUUCUAACCUCUGACUUUAAAGUGUCUAAAAGUUACUUCUUCACAGAGAUUUGCACAGAUUAAGGCUGAAAAUGUGUGUAAAGCCAACAUAUAGGACAAUAUAGAAAUCUAGAUACUGGUUCAUUUCUCUCUUUCUUAACCACCUCAGUCUACAUCCUUCACAGAUUAUGGUAAUAUUAUCAGGUUGUGUGUGUGUAUGUGUGUGUGUGUGUGUGUGUGUAUUUUUUUUUCCUCUCUGUAUGUGAACUCUCGGUCAGUGAGGAGAGUGUCCAAAAAAAAAAAGAUGUUGCAGACAGUUCAGACUUAUAUGGUCUGUUUGUUUUGCUUUCUAUAAAGUACAUGUAAAAUUUCCACAGUUAAUAAAUAUUUCUAAUUAAUGCUUAUAUUAAUCAU